rnacentral:rRNA from 1 species
UGUCCAGACUCCUACGGGAGGCAGCAGUGGGGAAUAUUGGGCAAUGGGCGCAAGCCUGACCCAGCAACGCCGCGUGAAGGAAGAAGGCUUUCGGGUUGUAAACUUCUUUUCUCAGGGACGAAGCAAGUGACGGUACCUGAGGAAUAAGCCACGGCUAACUACGUGCCAGCAGCCGCGGUAAUACGUAGGUGGCAAGCGUUAUCCGGAUUUAUUGGGUUUAAAGGGUGCGUAGGCGGAAUGCCAAGUCAGCGGUAAAAUCGGGGGGCUCACCCUCGCUCCGCCGUUGAAACUGGCGUUCUUGAGUGGGCGAGAAGUAUGCGGAAUGCGUGGUGUAGCGGUGAAAUGCAUAGAUAUCACGCAGAACUCCGAUUGCGAAGGCAGCAUACCGGCGCCCAACUGACGCUGAAGCACGAAAGCGUGGGUAUCGAACAGGAUUAGAUCCCCCUGUA